rnacentral:rRNA from 1 species
GACGAACGCUGGCGGCGUGCCUAAUACAUGCAAGUCGAGCGAAGCGGCGGCUGGGUGUGUAACGCGUGGGUAACCUGCCCUUACGUCUGGGAUCCCAUUUGGAAACAGAUUCUAAUACAGGAUACUAAAGGAUGGUCCGGCGAUGCAUUAGCUAGUUGGUAAGGUAACGGCUUACCAAGGCGAUGAUGAAUGGCCGGUUUGAGAGACUGAUCGGCCACAUUGGGACUGAGACACGGCCCAAACUCCUACGGGAGGCAGCAGUGGGGAAUCUUCCACAAUGGACGAAAGUCUGAUGGAGCAACGCCGCGUGAGUGAAGAAGGUGUUCGGGUCGUAAAGCUCUGUUGUUGGUGAAGCGGUAAUCAACCAGGAAGUCACGGCUAACCACGUGCCAGCAGCCGCGGUAAUACC